UACGUAGGUGGCAAGAGUUGUCCGGAAUUACUGGGUGUAAAGGGCGAGUAGGCAGGACUGCUAGUCAGAUGUGAAAUUCCCAGGCUCAACCUGGGGGCUGCAUCUGAAACUGUGGUUCUUGAGUGCUGGAGAGGAAAGCGGAAUUCCUAGUGUAGCGGUGAAAUGCGUAGAUAUUAGGAGGAACACCAGUGGCGAAGGCGGCUUUCUGGACAGUUACUGACGCUGAGGUGCGAACUCGUGGUGAGAAAACAGG
rnacentral:rRNA from 1 species